AACCUUACCUACCCUUGACAUGUAUGGAAUCCUGCUGAGAGGUGGGAGUGCCCGAAAGGGAGCCAUAACACAGGUGCUGCAUGGCUGUCGUCAGCUCGUGUCGUGAGAUGUUGGGUUAAGUCCCGCAACGAGCGCAACCCUUGUCCCUAGUUGCUACGCAAGAGCACUCUAGGGAGACUGCCGGUGACAAAGCGGAGGAAGGUGGGGAUGACGUCAAGUCCUCAUGGCCCUUAUGGGUAGGGCUUCACACGUCAUACAAUGGUCGGAUUCUUAGGGUCGCCAACCCGCGAGGGGGAGCCAAUCCCAGAAA
rnacentral:rRNA from 1 species